rnacentral:lncRNA from 1 species
UUUUCUCACCAUUUUCCACCUACCAUACUCCAUAACCACCUCCAUAUUUCAUGCUUUUGGUGAACAACCUCGUUCACAUAUCUGUUCAUAUAUCUUGCUUCCUCUCAUAACCACUACAUACACUCAUAAAAUCAACAAUAUACAUUCUUUUUUAUACCAUCUAAAGAAUAACUUUCCAAAAUUUUCACCACAUCUCUCUCUGUAUUUCCAUUUUUUAUUAUGUGAACCUCUCACAAAAAUGCAUGAUAAAGACCACACAAAUAUUAAAACAAUCAUUUUCAUACUACUACAAAAUCUCUUUCACAUUAAAAUACCAUUAACCAAUAUAAGCAUUAUCACUUUCACCAUCAUUUUCAUCACGAAAUUUCUACCAUGGAAAACACUUACUUCAUAUACUUCAUUUCCUGAAUAACAACUAAACAACAAACCAUAACCUCUUUCAUUAAUCCUUUUCAUAUAAAACCUACAUCUUCUUCAUUUCCAACCAACUUCAUAUCUCAUCAAAACUCUCUUGGCACUCUUUUCUCUUCCAUACAAAACUAACACAUACAUCAUCACCUUCUCUCAUAAGAUUCUUCAUUCAUCCUACCCUGCCACGAAGCCAAACAUGUGUUCCUUUUUCGCAUAGUCGAUUCACUGUCUUAGCUGCUGCUGUUAGAUCCGUCGGCGCCGUCGUGGGUAUCGUCAUUUUUUCUUCCACUAUUUUUCAUGUGUUAUCUUGUUUGUUUUGAUUAACUGAUAUUUUAUGUGAUAUGUUUGAUGUAUCUUUGGGUUUAACAUUCGGCAAAAAAGUUGAACUUAAUCUAUUUUUUUCAAGUAAAAUGGAGAGAAGGCUCUGUUUGUAUUUUUUCUCUCGUCACAUGUGUUUUCAAUUUCCUGGAAUGUGAGUGUGUUGGUCUAUAUGGUUGAAAAUUCAACCAAUUACUUUUAUUACCUAUUUUAUUGUUCAAUGUUAUUUAUUAUAUAGUUUCAAAUUGGACAAUGAAAAAAGUGAUAACGUGUGAGGAGAAAAUCGGAGACAACUUUAGUUCUGUUUUCUACAUUUUUUUAAUUAUUUAUUAUUAUAAUUAUAAUUAUAAUUAUUUUGUUUGAUUUAUUAAUUUUGUUAUUAAUUUAGGAUUCUAUUUAUUGUUACUUUAUUUUAGAUUACAAGUCCAUUAACUCAUAGUCUCUUUUGC